rnacentral:rRNA from 1 species
GUGCCAGCAGCCGCGGUAAUACGGAGGGUGCAAGCGUUAAUCGGAAUUACUGGGUGUAAAGCGUGCGUAGGCGGAUUAUUAAGUCAGAUGUGAAAUCCCCGGGCUCAACCUGGGAACUGCAUCUGAUACUGGAAGACUAGAGUGUGCGAGAGGAUAGUGGAAUUCCCGGUGUAGCGGUGAAAUGCAUAGAGAUCGGAAGGAACAUCAGUGGCGAAGGCGACUCUCUGGACCAACACUGACGCUGAGGCACGAAAGCGUGGGUAGCAAACAGGAUUAGAUACCCUGGUAGUCCACGCCGUAAACGAUGUCAACUAGCCGUCAGGCUCGCUUAAGAUUCUGGUGGUGGAGCUAACGUCUAUAGUUGAACGCCUGGAGUACUCUCGCAACAGUAUAAAUCCUCGGAGUAGUCGGCGGCGGCCACAAGCGGUGGGGCAUGUGGU